UAGAGAUAGUUUCGUCUUAAUCCAGGAGAGAGCAAGCUCCAGGACCGGUAGAAGUUCGUGUAUCGGACUAGAUUAGGUUGAUAUUGAGAUUGUCACUAGGGUUUGACAGACGUGAAAAAAAAAAGAGAGAUAGAAAAAAUUAGGCAUUAAUUUCAAUAUGGCUCCUAAAGGAUUUUGGCGACGACCCCUCACACAGAUGUACAACCGUAAUUACCAAUACGGGACUGGCCUGUACUCUGGUACUCUAGAAGACAUAGAGAAACGCUAUUCCAAUUCAGUAUCAAGAACUCGUCUGCCGUCUGACCGACUGGACACAGGAUUCUCUUCAUUUGGGUCGUCAAUUCUGGGAGUAGGAUUAAAUGCCCCUGUCGACACCUCAACCUCAGCCAUUAGAAGUCGCUCCCCACGUGUGGACUUUGAUGCAAGUUCCAGCAACCGUCAUCAUGCCUUUCACAACAGAAUGUCCGAACCUGAGUCCUAUGACCUACGUAGAGCUCGAUCAUUUGGCGACUUCGACACCUUGCGUACCAAAUCUGUAUCUGAUGAGUUCCCUACGUCCUAUCUCUACUCUCUUCCUCCAUCCUCGUACUAUAGAGGAUAUGGCACUGAAGAGGAAACUGAUGCGUCCAAAGCUCGCCGGAGGAGGAGAAGAAAGCAUCAAGAAUUUGCAAGUCUAGAGCGUAAUCUUGCGGACACCUUUAAUACCCUCACCUUUCACGAGCCGGUUUCUAACCCAACAACAAGUUCUAGCCAAUGGAUGGACAGGUGCCGCGAAUUAGAAACACAAGUGGAGCAAUUGACUCAACGUGUUAGAGAUGCUGAAACGCGUGUACAUACUGAUGUCAAGGAGAUGAAAAACAAAAUGCAAAUCGAGAUUACCGAGGUUGGAAUGUUGCUGGAUGAAGCGAUGAAACAUAAUGAAGAGCAGCAGAAAGUAAUCAAGAAGCAAGCCAAACGAUUAGCAGAGCUUGAAUCACAUUAUGAUGAAGUUCAUCGCCAUCUACAGGAAGAUAACGAACUUUUAGCUUCUUCUCAGCGCAAGUGUCAGGCCCUGCAAGUAGAAGUUCAUAAUUUGAAGCGUGGCAUGGAUUACCAUGCCACUGUUAAGUCCCCUAGCAAAUACCCGUGAUUAUCAGCUACUCUACCGUGUCAUCUGGAGUUUAUGAGCUGUUUGCGUGAGUUUCAGCUUAUGUAACUUUCAAUCAAGGUGAAACUCAAGUUAUUCAGUAAUGCCUCCAGUGAUAUUUAUAACCAUGCAGCCUAACAUUAUUGAUGUCACUUAUCUCACAUGAAGAGUCGACAUAAAUUAGUUUUUAGAAUUGCGUCUGGCUUUUCCUUUGUGGGGAUGAGUUUUCUGCUGGCUUCCGCUAAAAUGUCACGCACCUCAAAGAUUUUAGCUCAAUUAAUUUUCGAUUUUCUGGGACUUCCACGAUACUGACGUUUUGAAAAAUGCCUGUUGUAGUUCUGUGCCAAAGACAAAUAAAAGCUCGAAACUA